UAGUGUGUUAUUACUAACUCCAUUCUUUCCUGUUUUGUUCCUUUUCUCUCAUUCUCUCUUAGCAUUUUCCUUUCUUAAUGGGAGCUGAAUCAGAAUCUCAUCAAACUCCAUCUGCUUUGGCAGAUCCACGGCCUCCGGGGGACGUGUUCGCCGGAAAUGAGGGAGACGGCGGCGUUCCGGUCUAUCUCCGUGGUGGAUCUGAUCGUAGAUGGUGUUGUCUGGCACGAGAGGGCUCUCAGUCUUCAUCGGAGACAUUCGUAAUUAACCGAAGCCUUCGUGUUGGCUAAACUCGACAACUUGUUAACGCGCUUUAUAAACGAUUAGGUCAAAAACCCUCGUCUUCCAUCUGCCUAAGUAAGCUUCUUCAGACUAUACCUAUAUCUACUGAAAUGUUUUCCCCUGAUGAGGUCCCAUUCUGGACUAUCUUUUAAAGCUUCAACAAGUGUACUUUUCUGUAAGCAUGUAGACAGCGAUGUGAGAUACGAGACUGUUUUCCUUUGAGCAGAGGCUGUUUCUGCUAAUUGAUUGUCAUCGUACUGGUUUUACAAGAUGAACAUCCAAUGGCUCAACAAACCAGCACUCCUCUAGCACUGACAGAUUCUUGAGCAAUGCGGGCUAGUUAUAUGGCUAAAUUGAGGUGAACUGAUGAUAGUUUCGCAAACCACAGCCUAACUCAACAAGUACGUUCCUCAAGCCAGUGAUUGUACAAGCAGUGGUCAUUUUCUUAUAUGGUGUUUUACUGAAUUAUUCGUGGUACAGCUUGUAAAAGAUAGUUUCGUAGUACAAAUUGUAACAGCAGUAUGGCCAUUCUCUUAAAAAUUAGUUUCAUUAGGAUAGGGAGUGUACAAUACAUAUUUAUUUGCUUUAAAAUGCUUUGAAGUCAUCGGCCUCGUAACAGACGAACAAAAAACUUGUACGCGCAGUGACAUUAUUAAAAAGCACAACUAUCCCAAGUCCGACGCAAUGCUAGUUCUCUA